CAUCCUGGGGGUGGAGAAGCUCCCAAGGGUUGGGCUGUUCGCCCAUUAAAGCGGCACGCGAGCUGGGUUCAGACCGUCAAUUUGGCGGCUUUCCUGAGUAAUUGGGAUUGCAAAAGCUGACUCAUAUCGGUGAAGUCCUAACAAGUUCAUUGCAAAAUGACCUGUCGUAUGUUAGGAUAAUACCGAGGGAAGUCACUUAUGUCUAAAUUAUCUUCAGUACAAAAAUCUUAUUUAGCUGGAUUCAUUGAUGGCGAUGGCAGUAUUUAUGUGCGCCUGAAACCCAACGAUAGUUAUCGUUAUGGUUUCCAGGUUGCGCCGUAUAUAGUACUGUUUCAAGCCUCAAAAGAUGAAGAAAUUUUUCGGCGGGUUUGCUCGCUGAUAAAUUUUGGUUAUUUAAGAAAACGAAAAGAUGGUAUAUUAGAAUACACUAUCGGUCGGACUGAAGAUAUUAUUGAAUUUUUGAUGAUGAUUAAGCCUUAUCUGAUUUUAAAGAAAAGACAGGCUGAUCUCAUGUUAGAAAUUCUUAAAAAAAAGAAGUCGGUUAAAAAUAAAGCCGAUUUUCAAGGUUUGAUGGAUUUAAUUGAUAAAUUUAGAGAUUUAAAUUAUUCCAAAAAACGUAAAAGACAUAAAUUGACCCCGUAGAGACUGACUCCAUUUGCUUUAAAUAGCAAUAUAAGCGGGAAGGGCGUUUCUUAAUUGAGGCGUCAACACGUCGGCCCCCUGUUCAACAGGGUGAUGGUAUAGUCCGUACACUUAGUAAUAGGUGAGUUAUAAUUAUGCGUAAGACAGGUCGGUCUCCUAUCCACUGUGGUCGUGGAAACUUGAAGAGGCCCUUCCUUAGUACGAGAGGACCGGGAAGGACGAAGCUCUAGUGUACCUGCUGUUCUACCAAGGGCAUUGCAGGGUAGCUACCUUCGGUUAAGAUAAGCGCUGAAAGCAUCUAAGUGCGAAGCUGUCUCUAAGAUUAGGUUUCAUAGACUGGUUAGAGAAUAUAACCUUGAUAGGCCGUACGUGUAAGUCCGGCAACGGAUUGAGCGGAGCGGUACUAAUAAGUCGUUUGAUUUUCCCAC
rnacentral:rRNA from 1 species